rnacentral:misc_RNA from 1 species
GUUAUCUCCCCUGACCUAUAAAAUAUUGUCUCGUCCGAUGUCUGGAUGACAGUUUUAUAAGUAAAAUGGAAUGUGGUUAAGUGUUUAAAAAAUGCACGAGUUGUUUGCCCAAGUGUUGAAUAAGAAGGAUCUGUCAAAGGCAGGUGACCUUUUCUCCCUCGAUGACCGCGCUAUCAAGGGGGACCUUAUCAGUGUCCUUCAGAAGAUUGGAGAAAUAAUUGACAACAAAGACUAUGCUUCUAACGACAAUGACCAGAGUGUAGUGGAAAUAUGUGUUACCAGGGUUACAACAGCCAUCAGGGAGACUGAGAGUAUUGAGGAGCAUGCCAUUGCCCUAGUACGCCUGUUGGAGCUAUGUCAGAAACACAACUUGAACCCGUCCUCUCAGGAGAAGGAUCCUCCCCAUGCCAAGAUCGCCUCCGACAUCAUGAGCUGCCUCUUUAUGCACUACGGCAAGGGGAAGGUAAUGAUCCUAGCUAUUCCUGUGGUUGUGAACUUUCUAUGCUGUAAUAACAAGGAGCUGGGACGCAAUGUGUCCAGUUACCUGUCUCUGGCUGCACUGGACAACGCUGACCUCCUGGCACGUCACAUGGACCUCAUCCUCAACAGCAUGCUCAGGGGUAACUACAUUCUGAGUACCGUGCUCCCCCAGAUAUUUACCCAGUGUCGACAGGCAGUCAUUGAUCAGACUGAUCGCUUGGUCAAGAUUAUAGACAAGUGUGAGCCAUCAGAGAGGCUUAGUCUCUUCCAGGUGUUUGGGAUGAUAGCCAAGACUGACACUAAAGUGCUUGAAAAGCAUGUUCCAAAAUUUGUAAAAUAUCUGUCCUCAAAUACCUUGUCGCCCAUGAUUUUGUGCCUGUUUGUUGACAUGGCAACAGCCAGUCCACUCAUCUUUGUCGAUCAUGUGUCCACUCUACAGAAGGUUGCCGAGCAACAACCAACAUACAUAGUACAAGUCAUACAGAUCAUGGGCACCCUAGCAACCAUUAACAAGGACUACGCCAGGAAGAGCAUGGAUUAUUUUGUGUCUCAGUUCGGUAGUGCGGACCAGACGGCUCUAACUGUUAUUUUACAGGAGAUUAAGGCACUCAGCUUAAACAACCAUGAUCUCUUGGCUUUGAAUCUCGAAGAAAUCUCAAAAUUGUCUCAAAAUGGAUCCAGUGCUGUCCGGAUUCUUGUCCAGCAACUAAAGGAGGAUAACAAUAAAUACUCAUCGCCUACUCCAACAGAGCCUACUAAACAGACAAGAUCGGUGUCGAGCCAGACGGAGGGAACUGUCACCAUCAUCACUGUGGGCAAUCCUCCAAACGCUGCCUACCCUAGUGGGGCGGUGGCUAUUCGCCACACAGCACUACCACCCAGUAACAUGUCCAGCCAGCAGAGUCUGGCUAAAUCAUCACGGGCUAGUGCUUCCCAAGCACGUCUACCUAUGGAUCGGCCGGUCAGUCCACUGUCCAGUCAGUUCUCAGACCGCAUAUCAAUGACCAGUGCAAUGACAUAUGGCAGUACACAGACUGGUCCUCCUUUACCUCCAGAACCUCUGCGUGAUGGGGUCCAGAACUUCUGUGAGAAACACAUGCCCAUCAUACGGAAUUUUAUAGAGAGUAUGUCCGUGCGUAUCCCUCUGCCUUCUAAGUGCAGCAUAAUCAAUGGGCGCCACAAGCGGUACAUUAGACUCAACUUCCUGUGUGGGGGUCAAGGUGACCAAUGUCUCUAUGGUAACACCUAUUUCUCUCUCAACACCAAAGUACCCAAAACCUGGAUCCAUGUCAUGUUCCUGGCUGUACAGGCCCAGUCUACCUCAGCGCUGAACCAGAAUGAUGGGAGUAUCCAGUCAUUAAGGAGCUGCUGGGACAGUCUUUGGGGAGAACGGAGCAAUUUCCUCACUCUUGUCACUUCCUCAUUCCCUUCCCCUAAGGACCAAGAUAUCCUACUGCAGGAACUGCAAAGCUCUCGGUUCUUUGAUGUAUUUGAGUUCAAUGCUGCCAAGAAGUAUUGGGCCUGUUUUAUGUGCAAUCACCCUGAGAAGACGUUAGAACUGCUACAGAAUGGCAACCCUGUGAUAGCUGGACAACUGAAAGAGAAGAAAGGAAGAUGGAAGUUUUUGAAACGUUGGAAGACCAGAUACUUUACAUUGUCAGGGGCACAGAUCACUUACAACAAGAGUCACUCUAGAAAAGAAACACUUCCAGUCAGCAAGAUUCAGAGUGUUAAAGCUGUUCGUAAGGGUGUCAGAGACAUUCCAAAAGCCUUCGAGAUAUUCACGGGCGAUCAAACCUAUAUGUUCAAGGCCAAAGGACAACAGAACAUAGAACAAUGGGUUCAGUGUCUACACAUCGCAGUGGCACGAGUUCAGACGACAGACAAGGACAAAACCGUGAAAACUAAGGAAAGUGGGACAGAUGUUAUGGGUAACAGUUCAGUGCCAGUCGCUAACACUGGUGAAGUUAGUCCCCAAAAUAAUGUUGUUAUUGAGCGUCCACGCUCUGUGAUGGAUACUAAGUUAUAGCAAUUACAGUAAAACCUAGGGAGGCUUUGGUUGAGUGACUCUCCCUAGAGAGGCUUUGGUUGAGCGACCCUCUCUUAAGAGGUUUUGGUUGAGUGACUCUCCCUAGAGGCUUUGGUUGAGCGACUCUUCCUAGAGAUGCUUUGCCGCUUUGGUUAAGCAAACUAACUAGAGAGGCUUUGGUCGAGUGACCCUCUCUAGAGAGACUUCUGAUGGUUGACCCAGGUACCUAAGGAGGCAUUUUUGUGUGAAUUAUAUAUCUAGGCAGCCAGAUUCCUAGGUAGGUUUGGUUUCCAUAGACCAGAUUCCUAGGUAGGUUUGGUUUCCAUAGACCAGAUUCCUAGGGAGAGUUUGGUUGAAAAAACUAGAUUACUAUAUGAUAUAUAUACGCACGUGGGAUUGUUUGUUUUAACGACUGCAGUGAUACCUAGAAAAGGUUUGUUUAAGCAACCUAGAUACAUAGGGAGGUUUUGGUAGAGUGGCCAAUGCUGGGGAGAUUUUGUUUUAGCAACUUAGAUACCUAGGGAGUUUAUUAGUGAGGGAAGUUUUGGUUGAAUGACCUUCACUACGAAGGCUUUAGCCAAAUGACCCAGAUACCAAGAAAGUUAUAGUGCUGAAGUACCUGGUGAGGGUUUGGUUGAGUGACCUGGAAACCUAUGCAGAGUUUGAGAGAGUGACAAUUUACCUAGAGAGAUUGAAAUCUAGGGAGGAUGUGGUGGAGGGGCCAAGAUAGCUAGACGUCAGAUGUGAAACUUCAAGUGUUCAAUUGAUGGACCAGGAAAUGUAGAUCCAGUCUGGUUUAGCAGCUUAAGUCUGCCUCACGUUCAGGUUUAGUGUCUAGUUAUUCUACAUUUAGUUUGACUUAGCAACUAAUCACCCAUUCACCCCUGAAAUUUCACACUGAAUUAUUCCAACCUUUGAAUUGGAAGAUUUCAAAUUUGUCUUCAGG